GUAGUCUCGCACAGAUGCAUAUCAAUAAGCGGAGGAAAAGAAACUAACAAGGAUUCCCUUAGUAACGGCGAGUGAAGCGGGAAGAGCUCAAAUUUGAAAUCUUCAAGGUUUUACCUUGACGAAUUGUAGUUUAAAGAAGUGUUUUCUGUUGAAGUUUUGGUAAAAGUUCUUUGGAAUAGGACAUCAUAGAGGGUGAGAAUCCCGUAUUUGACCAUUAUUUUCAGCUGUGUGAUACACUUUCAAAGAGUCGGAUUGUUUGGGAAUGCAGUCCAAAAUGGGUGGUAAAUUUCAUCUAAAGCUAAAUAUUGGCGAGAGACCGAUAGCGAACAAGUACCGUGAGGGAAAGAUGAAAAGAACUUUGAAAAGAGAGUUAAACAGUACGUGAAAUUGUCAAAAGGGAAGCGUUUGACACCAGUGUUGUUUUCUCGAAAAUCAAUUAAAAAGAGUUAGAUUUUGUUGUGUAUUGACCUUAACAGCUUGCAUUUCAAUUUUCUUGCUUUUUUUAAUGCACUUUUCGUUUAACAAGUCAACAUCAGUUUCUUUUGUUGUAAAAAGGUCAUUGGAAGGUGGCUUUCUUUUCGGAGAAAGUGUUUAUAGCCUUUGACUCCUGCAAUCGGAGAGACUGAGGUCUGCAGCGUAGAUCCUUCGGGGUUAGAUACAUUUGUGCUAAGUUAUAGCUUUUUAUAGACAACUUGUUGACUAUGAUUAGUCUUGUAGCUUACUCGCUUAUGCUAUUUUACCUACGCUUAGGAUGUUGAAGAUGUAGCAAUCAU
rnacentral:rRNA from 1 species